CGGACAUUGGCGUUGGCGGUGGGGAAGUCAGCGUGGACAUUAGAAAAGCAAAGGCCGGUGUCGGUUUCGAUUCCGGUGGUGGUGUCCGAUUCUUGCUGAGAUCAAAGGGGCUCCAAAUUUGUGUUCCUACGCAAAAGCUUCCUUCUGGUGCUGGCAUCAGAAGGAACGUCUGAAGGCAAAGAAUCAGAGCAAAAGCGUCAGACAAAAGCACGAGAUGGACUACUACAAGGGUAAGGGUGCAAAAACUCAAUAUAUAUGGGAAGGAGGAUUGAUCAAUCGAUUGAUCGAUUGAUCGAUAGAGAAAUUGCAGAGAGUUGACAAAGCAUCACCCACCCCACCCCACCAAGAAAAUUCUUCGGUUCCGUUACGCUAGCUACGGAGAGACAGAUACUCUCUGCUAACAAUGGAUGGGAUGGAUGGACGAAGGGAUCACCCAAGAUGUUAAAUCAACAUCAAAUAUGCCCAACAUCUCAUCAAAACCACCAUCCUUGUUCUUCGACACUCCAAAAAAGGAAUUUAAAAUUAUAAAAAUAUAAAUGGAUCCUUCAUCAGAGAGAGAGAGAGAGAGAGAGGCCUGAUCUGAAAUAAGGGCGUCCGCCAUGACAUUCUGGCCCCCUACCCACGUCUCGCCGUAGACGGAGAUGAGCACGCUGCCGGUCCGGUAGGGCAUGCACUUGAACUCGGCGAUUUCGUGGUGGCACUGCGGAAGGGAGGUGAGUUUGGCGAGGAUGGCCUCCUUGCCCUUGAUCUCCCGGCCGUCGAAGUGCAGCACCGACUCUUCCCGGUACAGGUUCACCAAGCCCGCCCGAUUCGUGUCGAACGUCCUGUAGUAGUUCACCAUGAACCGCUUCGCUUCUUCUGCCCGACCCAUGUCUUCUGGCUUGAUCCUCCACAUCUCUUUCCUCCUCCUUCUGUGCGCGAUUCAGAGAGAAAUCCCUAGCGCCGUUUCUUUUUCAAGAGUUCCCUUCCCCUUUUUUAUUUUGGAAUACACCGACCCGGUUUCUUGUCGGGUCGGUCGGGUUUUUCACGUCCGGUACUUUGAUGGCACGUGAAAUCCGAAAAAGGGAGUAAGAUCAAAUUGAGGAGAUUUUGAAGGGGGAUUAAUUAAUGUACUUAUUCGAAUUAGGAGAUUUUGAAGACAAAAUAAUUAAUGGACAUAAUCGACUUAGGAAAAACUACUUAAAAAGAGUACGCGUUUGUGUCCACCAGCUCUCAACCAAGAACUUAUGCACAAAAGCCAACUUUCACUAGCUAGUGAUUCCAAUUUUGAUGGCACGCGAAAUCCCAAAAAGCAAGUAAGAUCAAAUUGAGGAGAUUUUGAAGAGAGAGUAAUUGAUGAACUUACUUGAAUUAGGAGAUUUUGAAGACAGAAUAAUUAAUGGACAUAAUUGACUUAGGAAAAACUACUUAAAAAGAGCACGCGUUUGUGCCUACCAGCUCUCAACCAAGAGUUUAUGCACAAAAGCUGACUUUCACUAGCUAGUGAUUCCAAUUUUGAUGGCACGCGAAAUCCCAAAAAGGAAGUAAGAUCAAAUUGAGGAGAUUUUGAAGAGAGAGUAAUUAAUGAACUUACUUGAAUUAGGAAAUUUUGAAGACAGAAUAAUUAAUGGACAUAAUCGAAUUAGGAAAAAUUAGUAGGCGUUUCUUACGCAUUUGCGUCUGCCGGCUCUCAAUCAAGAACUUACGCACGAAAGCUGACUUUCACUAGCUAGCGAUUCCAAUGUUCUUUUACUGGCGGCUAUGCGGAUUCCAAAGUAGAUCAAAUUGAGGAGAUUUUGAAGUUGUUUCGAGUUUAUGUCCCUGCAAAAAGGGAAAUUACCAAGAGAGAGAGGUGUUGUUUAGUUUGCUCUUAGAGGUCACCCUAUUUUAUCAAGGAGAGGUGUUAUCGUUCUCUGGAUUGAUCUCGCUCUCACUUUCCCGUCGCUCUCUCGUCACUCUCGCCGCCAUGGAAUCUGCUAACCUGGCCGCCUUCUUCGGCGGUCAAUUUUAUUUUUCGUUUGACUCAAGUCGCCAGUAUGUGCCGCUCUAUUAUGGGCCUGCAUCAACCGCUGUUUACGAUCAUCACAUUGCCUCUGGCCCUGUACAAAUACAUGUUCUUUUCACUUCGGAAUAUCUUGCCGACGUCUGUCAUCUCAUCACUCGUAUGUCAUCGUCGGUCGAUUCAAUUACAGGUCGACGUUGUUUCACCUUCGCCGGUGUCAUCCGCAUCGGCCUUGAGUUCAGAGACUUUGAGGAGGUUCAUCGGUUUCUCUCUUCUUUUUCUUUCUUUGUUGGGUUAAUUUGAUACUAAUUCUUCCCUUUUAGAUGUUUAUUGUGGAAGGGCUGCUAAUCCCUCCUCGAAAUGGACGGAUUAUCUACAGCAACUUCCGUUCAAUCCCGCGGCAAGAGCCGUUACCAUAUCCGAUGCCACUGCCACCAGUGCAAGAGCUGGCCCAAUUAUACCCAAACGCCCCCAGUAUACCCAUUGCCAAUGGGAUUCCUACAGCCAUUCCCUAACCAGGCACAGCCGUUCCCUCACGAGGGCGCACAACCGGGGCCAUUCCCUCAACAGCAGCCUGUGCAACCGGCAGAGAACCCAUUCCCACAUGCGGCUGACCCGCCCGUGGACGAGCAACUUCUAGCAUUCCUCAUGCAACAGGAUCCAUUCCCUCAGGAGGACCCACAGAACCUGCCAUUCCCACAAGCCGGCGAUCCGGCAGCGGAUGAGCAAAUACAGGGAAUGGAGGCAGUCGAGAGUCAAGGCAGCAACGCAUGAGGGAAUAUAUUUUAGACUACUUUUGCAUUCCAUAUCGUUUCAGUCUGUAUACAUUCUCUUAUGUCAGCUGCUGAUAUGAGUGUAGUGUUUCAGUCUGUAUAGCUUCAGUUUCUCUGAUGAUUCCGUUUUAUUGCACUACUGUUUAAAAUAGUGAUUAUGAUUAUGCUCUAUGAUCUGACCAACUCUUUCCAUCAAUUUCUACACAAUCAUCUACUGAAAGAGAAAAUGCUUGAUAAUUAUGUGACCGCCGAGAAACACUGUCACCGCAUUACAAGGAAAAGAAAAGAAGGAUUUGACCGACGGUCAAGCAAACCUUUGAUGGCACUGUAUUUAUGAUUCAUAAAGCAGAUCAAAUUGAGGAGAUUUUGAGGAGAGAAUAAUUAAUGAACUUACUCGAAUUAGGAAAAAUUACUUUAAAAGAGUACAUGUUUACGCGUUUGCGUCUGCUAGCUCUCAACCAAGAACUUAUGCACGAAAUCUGACUUUUGCUAACUAGUGACCCCAAUGUUUUUUUUUUUUUUUUUUUGGAUCUACACAAUAUAAUAAUCAUGUUGAAAGUAGAUUUCCCAUCACACGAGAGGAGCAGUAACUAUGCCCACUAUUCAUAAACCACGAUGGCAAUGCUUUUGGUUAAGUGAAGCAAAAUUAAGUUUGUGCAAAUUCCUUACUUCUCAGGAGGAAGCAAUUGUUGUUGAUCAGAGAAUCAACUUCAAGUAUGUCAGAGUUGACUUUGCAUUGGACUCAAAGUCCCGAGCGCACAUCCGACACUUUUAGGUUCCCCAGUCUCCAUAUAUAUUUAUUCACACACACGUCUAAUCACCCAAGCCAAAAAGAUUACGACUUGAGCACGCCUACUCUCGUUGUUAUUUGGGCUAGGGGUGAAGCUUCCUAAAACAACAUGAAUUUGAUGAAAGAAAUCUAAAUUCAACUCGAUAUCAAUACCUUUUCAGUCCAUUUUCAGUGAAAACUACUUUGUAAACACAUAGUUUUUGUACCAUACGUAAUGACGCGAAUGUAACACUGCAAGACAUGUAUCAUCGGCCCGAUUGAGGCUUUUAUGCAGCAGUCUCGGGCCGACCUGGCCAGGCCCGUCGGCACCGCUUGAUCGCCAUUUCCACUGCAUCACCAUCUUCAUACGAACUCUUCCAGUUCAGAGUCUUCCUAGUCUUCCUUCUCCAGAAUUCCAGUUCUUGCUUCUGCUUAACCAGGUACGCUCUUUAUCCUCCUCUCUGCUUCCUUCUUGUUCAUCGAUAUGUGGCUAUGGAAAUAUGCUAGCUUGAGCAUUGAUUCCGAUACCAUGACGUUGAUCCGCGGCCGUAGGCUUAGUUGAAAUUGCACGUCACAGCCAGCUUUAUCAAAGCUGUGCAACGAUACCGUUUCAAACCCCCAAAGUUUACACCUUUUUGUAAAACUAAAGGAGAUGCCCAUGCUUGUUGAUCAUUAUUGUGGGGAGAUUAUAUGCCCUUGUUUUAAUAUCUGGAUCGGUUUGAGUUUUUCAUGAUGGAUUUUUUCUUUUUCUUUUUUUGGUACAUGUUGAAGCUGAAUGAUGCGGCUUUUGACCUUUCAAAUGGGCCGGUUGCUGAUGAGGUUUGUUGUUAAGCUCCAAUUCCUACCUUUUGUGAUUCAUUUGUUUCAGUUGUACGGUUUCACUUAUUGAGUGGAGUUCAGAUUUUCUCAAUUGUCCUUGGGAACUUGAAGAAGCUCGAAGGGAGAUGGAUUAUAUCUGACAUCUGUAUGCCGAUUGCUUUAAUACAAAAGUUAACAAGUUUUAUGUUUUUUAUUUCCCUUUUCCCAAUGGCCAGUGUGGCGAAGAACUUGGAGAUAUACUGUUAAAUUGGUUGAAAUCGUGGGAACAAGCAGAUACAUUGACAUCUAGGACUUUGGCGAGCAAACUGCUUCUGCUAGAGAGAGCUCUUUGGCCGAUAAUGCUAAAUCAGGCAUGAAGAAAACACUGGCUUCUUCAUGCUUAAUACAUGCUUGAGGGUCUGUCAUGAGCCUCAUGAUCAUGCAUUUGGUGAUUUAGCAUUGGGGAGGCGCUUAUCAUCUGCUGGAAGGAGGUUCCAGUCCAUGGGACCAUAUGGUCAAGGCAACCUUGCUAAGGUAUCUUGCAGAACUGGUGAACUCUCAGCAUAGUAAAAGUUGGUAUACUAUUGCUAUGUGAGCUUAAAUGUAAACAACAGGAAUGGUGGGUUAAAAAGAGCAAUUUUACUCUGCCAAAGAAGCAGAAAACGCACACUUGAAAUUCAGACUGCCCUACCCUAUUUUAAUCUGUAAAUUUGUUGCGUGUCGGUGUUAAACACAUAUAAAACUAAAUUAGUCAGGAACGAGAAUUUCCUAUACUUCCGAAUGAGUAUUUGAACCCAGUCAUUGCAUGAACUCCUUUUUCCUUGUUUUCUCAAACUACAUUUUUUUUUCUUUUUUAUCAUUGACUUCUUAUGAAAGAACUGGAAGCACUCAAGAAAAAACCUUGACUGAUCAUGCAUAAGGACCCCUAGUGAUGUGAGCCUCGAUGUUUGGAGACAUCUUUUCCACUUUGAAUGUGGCAUAACUACUGGAUUUAUAUGAGGUGUGUAAACUGUUUCAAAUUGUUGUUAGAUUGCAAAGAUAAUGAUUGCAACGGGAAAGCGUUUGGCUGCAACCCAAGUAUCUGCCGCAAUGGUUGAAGAACCUAAGAAGGAAGCCCGAACUUUUAAGGUUGGUUCUAGCUCUCUCCUGGUUGAGGUCUCAAGGACAAGCUUAUUAACAUAAUGUGAUCUGUCACUGGUUCUUCACGCUUUUGAAAGUGCAGUUUGGAGAACUUUAAGUAGAAGUUACAUCAGAUAAAGCCAACAUUGGGGCUGCUAUCGGUUUUUCAAUUAAGUAACUGAUGCUUUUUGUCACGAUUGAUUUUUUUGCCUAGUUAUAUUAGAUUGAAGAGUAUUAAAUUGAAACCUACCGUUUAAAAUGCAGAAUUCUUUCAUGGCAACUAGCUCAAGGCGUUCAAAGCAUCCCCGAGAGCUCUUUGCAGUAUGCAAAUGAUAAUGCUUUGCUGCUGGCCAAGGUUUCUGAGAACACCAUCUUCAACCUUGUGUGGAUGUCCUUUUGUACUACAUUUACUGAACGCUGAUACAUGGAAUCCUUCGAAUGCAGUCUCUAAGGGGUGCUCUACUUGCGACGGGCUAUUCAUCAGCUAUCUUGUCCACAAUCGCAUCCUUUGGCGUUCGUGUGCUUGCAAGACAGCUUAAAUCUGAGAACAAGUGACGUUGUCCUAGUUUUUUCUACGUUUUGCUUGAAGAUGACCAUUGACUUGAGGAAGAGCUGAACAUGACUGAAAAUGUAUUACUAUCGUCGGUAUGAAUCCAUGGGUUAUGGAUACGUACUGAUAGAAUAUAUCAUUAUGUACAUAAACUUUUCGGGCAUGAAGAAUGCUUCUUGGCAUGUUCCCUGUUGCCCCAUAAUUGGGGAAGCUGAUUUGAUUUAUUGCAUCUUGAAGCAGAUGUUGCCCUGUUCUCCUACCUCUUCCCUUCUAAUGUUCCACUUUGAUUAUAUAAACUUCCAAAAUUGGUAAUGGAAGAAAAAGCACCGGCAAAGUAUGUGUCAUUUCAUAUUUGCUUUCAGCUUUAAAGAAAAUGCAAUGAGAGAGGGCAUUAAGUUACAAGGUCCUCAAUUUAAGAGGUGCUGAUGUUACACUGAGAAUGAACAGGGAGGGAGAGAUGGUUUGGCCACCAAGUGUGAUAGUUUAAUAGUGAUGCAUAAUAACCUGGCUGAAACUAUGCAAGUGAAAGUCUCAAAGAAGUACCAAAUGUUAACCACCGACGAAGGGUUCCAAAUUACAGAUCACCUCGGAUAUUUUUACCAGUCAAUGUGGGGCUUGAUUCGUAUCAACUAACCACCAAUCAUUUACUCCUUUUGCUUUUGGGCUGGGCCAUGACAAUGGUAGAUCUCUAUUUUACUUUGGUACCUUACUGCUUGAAAGUCCAAAACAACUUGAGCACUGAAAGUUAGGAAGCAUUACUGUAAUUGCUAUUUGAUGUAAUAUCCUUGGACAAGAACUUUGCUUUUGGGGAGUGUGAUUUUUGCCUUUUACAAUGAAUUCAAAAUUGUUGAUUUAAUUUGAUUGUCGACGACUUUUAUCACAUUUUCUGUGAUUAGUUUAGUGCUAUUGCUUUAUACAUUUGAGACAUUUGAGUACCUUAGCAGUACGUUUUGCAGUUGAAGGAUCCAGCCGUAGGUCAGCUAAACCAUUGUAUUCAAAUCUUAUCAUAUAUCAACUAAGUCGAUGACGAAGGUAUUAGCCAUUCUCUUAUUGUGGAUAUUCUUGCCAAUGCCAUUGUGAUGGGACAAUUUGAUAGGUGAUUUCAACUCAUGUCUUUUCUGUGAGUAUUUCUGGAUAGAAUGUCGGAAGCAAUUUGUAAGUAUGGCAUCUAUCUGUAUCAACAUUUUUAGGCCAGGCUUACUAUUCUCCGUGUCAUAUCAGUCACAUACUAAUGUUCUGGAUACAUGGCAUAUAAUCUUCAAUGCCGGCUAUUAGCACGUUGUAGAAUCCAUUAAAUUGUCACUAUUUUCUACUUGCCGAUAUAGGACAUAGACGUACUUGUUUUCUAAUUGACAUUAUGGAGAUUACGUCAAAAACUCUGCCCGGCAUCCAAGAUCAGAAUCUGAUGAGGAGUACCUCCUGUUUCAGUGUGGCUAAUUAAUUGGGUAAUCGAGUUUACGGUUUUCUCUCUCCUUUGUUGCUGUCUCUGGACAGGAGAUUUCAUUUAAUGGAUUCUCAUCAUGAUUAAUCCUCCAAUUGAAUAAAGUUUACGAGUAGGGAUGUGGUCGCCAUCUGAUAGGGCACGUGCUUGGUGUAUUCUUUGUUCAAAAUCGUGGUUGUUCUAGCCCUCUUGCAUAAUUUUUAAUGGAGCAAGAACUAGACCCUUGAAAUAAAUUUGGCAUUAGCGAAUGUAGCUUCCUUGAGAAUUCACCCUCUUGUUUUUUAUUUUUUAUUUUUUCUGACCUUAGUGCUAUCGUACUAAUUAAAUGGUCUUCGCUUAACCGAUGAAGUUGGCUUGGAAAAAUUAGAGUUGACAAAUGCAUUAUCUGCGACCCACGUCCAAUUUCCUUUUCUUUCUUUGUUUUUGGCUGAUGCAUGCGAUGAUGAGCUCAUCAAUAUUAAUCUGGGAACAUUCUUUGAGACAAAGUUUUCUGUGGUUUUUGCAGGUUCUUUGUACUUGUAUUUUGCUUGUCUGUUUCCAUUCAAGGAGUGAUUGUGUCUCUGCUCCGCUGCAUGUUUCUUUGACAUAGACGCCGGGAAUAUCUGGCUUGAGCUGUACAUACAUAUUAUAAUGCUGGGUUUCUCUACCGUCGUGACUUAUGAGAAUGGAAUAUAUAUGGUUGCAAGAUUCCACCAAUGCUAUGAACUGGUCAAAGGACUUGGAGUUUUUUAAGUUCAUUGUACUGUCACAGGCGAUUUAGUUGGUCAUCCAACUCGAGGUUUUGUGGUUCAGGUUUUGGUGCAAGCUUGCUGUUCUACAAUGCCUGCCGGUCGAAUUUUUCUGCUGACAGCUGCAUCUUCAAGAUUCAUGAGUGAUCCGAGAUUCCAAGUCUCGCAAGCAAGCUAUUGUUGGAACUGGACUGACCGUCUUUAAAAAAUGCCAUGAGCAAGAAAUUGCUUUUCCUUCUUGUUUCCAUCUGUCAAUCUUGGCAAGUGGGAAAUAAAGAACGCUCCCAUCAGCCAUCAUAUGUAUUGAUACCAUGUGCUGCUCUAGUCCUAGAGCUUCAGAAGAUGGUAAUUCUUCAUCCAUGUGCGUUUAGUCAACUUUUGACUGUUUAGGUCAGUCUGUUACCUCGUGAUCUUGUUGUCAUCACGUUUACCCAUUUUUAUCUCUUCCAGUAGACAGAUUAUACGAGAAAAGAAAGAACCAAGCUAAAAAGAAAGGGUAUGCCCUGUCGAAUAGACUCUUUCCCUUUCUGUUGAUACAUCAUCUGUCCUUUGAGAGCUGCCCCAAAACACUAGCUUUUCGCAGCAUCGCGAUAUUGUCUACCACGUCAAAAAUUAAUAACGAAAGGGAUCUGCUUUAGUCGUCAUCUUUUUCUUCUUUUCUUUAAUGACUCGGAUUAGAUAUGCACCAUUUUGACGUUGACUUUGAAAUAUAUAAGGUAGAACAAAUUGUAAGAACACGCCAGCCACGGAUUGGUCGCUACUCUCAUUUCUUUCUCCUCUCUCUCUUUUAUUUUCCCACUUGCAAAUUCUAACCGUAUCACCUCAAAUAACAGUGAAUUUUUUUAAUACAAUGCCGUGAUUCGAGAUUAGUAGCCGGCGACAUGGUUUGAACUCUAUUUCACUGAAACCAUAAAGCCAUCAAAUCGGUCAGCGAUUGUUUUGAUGUUAUUCAAGAGCAUAAAAGCUACAACUUGUGGUCGAAUGUGAUGGCUUUUCUCAUUAUUCUGGCUCUUGGCGGACGUACAUGCCUAUUUUCCAGCUACACAGCAUCAAUUUUGAUGGAUGGAUAUAGGUAAAAUAGGUGACAUAUACAUACACAUAUAUAAUAUAGGGCUAUUGAAUUCAUUCUUGCAAUGUUGUCACGUGCAACAGAUGACUCGGAAAUUGAAUUGAGCUACCGUUACUAUCGUUAAUCGUCAUCUCGUCUUGGCCUUUGUCCGUUUCCCGAGCACUACAAGGAAAAAUUAGAAACAGAGUUGGAUGGCAACGGGCUUUUCCUUCCCCUGAAGGCCUAGAGGACCGUCCCUGAUGAGCAUCGACAACAGCGAGAUCACUUUCAAGGACAGAUUUAGCAUGCUUGGAGGUUGUUAUCAGCAGUAGUGUAUAGUUGGAGAAAAUGACACAAAUAAUCUCUCGACUUUAAUCUAAUGUGUAAUGUGGUUUCUAAAUUCUAAAGUUGUUCAAUGUAAUCAUUGAAUUUUAGUUCAUCGUCUAUUAUCAUUCAUGAAUUUUUAAUUUAUUUGAUGUGAUUUAUGAACUUUUGAUAUAUAUUUAAUCUAAUCAUUCGACUAUAUGAAAAUAUUCAUUACUGUCCAUGAACCUGAAUUAAUAAAAAGAUGACAUUGAAUUUUUUCAUAUAGUUCAAGUAUUAGAUCGAACAUGUAUCAAAAGUUUAGGAAAUAUACUAAACAAAAUAAAAGUUUGGGGACAACAUGCACAUUAAGCUAGAUUUCAUGGGAUAUAUUGAAUAAAUUCAAACUUCAUUGACCACUUCAAAGUUCAAAAGCCAUUUGUAUAAUUAUCCCAAUUAGCUGUGAGAGAGACACAAUGAUCAAUUGCUAUAUUUAUGGUUCAUUCUAAAUCUUAAAGUGUAUUUGUUUUACCGAAAACUUAUAAUGAAUGAAUAUAUUUUCCCCUUGGGAACAUUUUCAAGGAAAAUGCUUAAUUUUUAUUUGUUUGGUGAUUUACGAAAAGUGGUUUCUUUCUUACUAUAAGGGAAAGUAAUUUUCCCCUGAUCUGAGCUUAUUAUUUUAAGUUUAUGGAAAACGUUAUGCACAAAUCGAUUAGCAUAAGGGUUUCACCAAAAUAUCAUUUUAAGUUACCCUUCAGAAAACCUUAAAAUAAAUGUGCAUGAUCCAAAAUAAUCUUGUCACCAAUUUGAAACUUAAAAAAAUCAAUUGUCAUCAAGUUCAAACCAUACAUAAAAGUCGCCGUCUAGAUAUUCCAAAUGGCAAAUUGGGAGCACUCAUUGCUCACUGACUACACCAAUGUUGGCACAGCUCUCAGAGGUUGACCUUUCUGUAAGGUGAGGCCAAACUUGUCGUCCAUGUUCAUCUCUUCAGGCUCCAUCCCAUCCCACCUUCAAGCUUCCAAUUGAAGCAAUUAAGGAGCGAACCUAACAUGAUAUGCAACAUCCGCGAGGCCAAUGGCAAGCCUGGACAUAUACGCCGACCUCCGCCAAAUGGAAUCGACUCAGAACUUCGUCCUUUCACGUCGAUUUCCAAUCCGAGAAACCUCUCUGGCAUAAAUGCAUUCGGGUCCUCCCACAACAUACCAUCUCUCCCAAUGGCCCAUAUAUUGACAAAGACUCGUGCGCCUUCUGGAAUGGCGACACCGUUAAUUUCUAAUUCCGUCCCAGAUUUCCGAGGGAGCAACGGAAUUUGUUGGGUGCAAGCGAAAAGUUUCCAUGACGAUGGCCUGUAAAAAGGGUAAGCUAGUGAUGUCUGACUCAUCGACGAGAUUGCCCUUGCCGAUGACUUGAUCGAGCUCUGCAUGGGCUCUUGAUAGUUUCUCCGGAUUGUGGAGUAGCUCGGCCAUUGCCCAUUCUAUCGUGCCAGAAGUUGUAUCAGUGCCUGCAACAAACAAAUCCUAUGUUCAAUGAAUAAAUCCAAGCUCAAAAUCACUUGGUUGAAUAAUAGCUGAGCUGCAUAUUGAGCAUGUAAUAAUAUAGAGAUUCCUACCCUUAAAACUAUUGGGUACAAGCAAGAAGAGCCAUAUAUAGAGAAGCAAAGCUAAAAUACAUCGUGAAUUUUAAGAUUAGAAACACGAAAUGAUUAUACCAUAAGUGCUAUAUUCUAUGCAUGAGAUACAAUUAAUUAUUAAAUAUCUACUCACAUCUACGAUGGCUUUCUAAACCUUUCAGUUGGUGCGAUUUAAGUAUAAACCUUUAUAGGAAAAUGCAAUUCAAUUUUAGAAUUGUUUGAGAAAGUGCAAUUUAAGAAUGGGAUAAUACCCUAAAAUACCCCAAACCGGUACAAUUGUGACAAAUUUACCCCAAACUAUUUUUUUGAUCACAAAAAACCCCAAACUGGUAUGCUUUUGACAAAUUUACCCCAAACUGGUACACUUGUGACAAAUUUACCCUAUGUUAGUUUUCGUUAAAUUUUAUUCUCAAAUUAUAAAGUUAAAUAACACGUGACAGUUAACCAGUAUACCAAUUUAGGAUUUUACGUUCCGUUUGUCACAGUUUACAAUUUUUUGUGAUUUUUUUGUGGUAUUAAUCCAAUUUAUAUAGGGUAUAUUUAUCACAAAUUUACCAGUUUAGGGUUUUUUGCAGUCGAAUAAAUUAGUUUGGGGUAAAUUUGUCAUAAAUUACCAGUUUAGGGUUUUUUAUAGUUAGUCGGGGUAAAUUUGUCACAAGUUUACCAGUUUUGGGUUUUUCAUGGUCAAAAAUAUAGUUUGGGGUAAAUUUAUCACAAAUGUACCAGUUUGGGGUUUUUCAAGGUAUUAACCCUUUAAGAAUUUCACAUCCAAAGAUGCUGCAAGCAACGGGAAAGUAUGCACAUUUAUUUUGUUUCUCGUGCUCUUUUAACUUGUAAAACUGCUAAAGUGCACACUUUCAUAGGAUUCCAUUAGAUAUAGAAUCUUCGUAAGUCUUCGAAAAUUGUCUAUGUUCAAGGAUUUCUUAUAUCACUCGGCUAAAAUGAUUUUUACUAGUAGAUUUUGGACUCUAGUGUCUGAGAAGACACUUCAUCUUCAAUAAAAUCAUAAGAAGUGUACUAGUCAACACGAUUAAGUGACAGAAGUGUAGAUAUUUUGUGGAACUCACACACAGAUGCAUUUUUAUGUGAAUUGAUGGACCUCUUGUGGGGAAAAAAAGAAUACAUUGAUGCUCUAUUUGUAUCGCAAAAAAUGAUUAUUUUGGAAAAAUAUUUUCUUACAAAGAAUCACUUAUAUAAUUUGAAAAUUUAGUUAAUGAAAAUUUUUUUUAUUGUCGACAACAAAUCAUGUCCAAAUAUUUUGGUGGAUAAUGAUGAUAAUAAUUCUUGUUCAUUUAUUUUUGUAAGCAACGCAAGCAAUCCUUCUUAGAAAAAUGUUUUACAAAUCAUUCAUUUUCCGCGAAACAAACGGAGCCUUGAUGAUGAACAAUUUUGGUUUCUGUCAAUAAAUUAGUCAUGAGAAAGCUGAGUUUAAGAGGUGAUUAGAGGUCAUCCGAUGCAUUCUGAGGUGAUUAGAAGUCAUCUGACGCAUUCUCCUAUUCGAACUUCUGUCUUAAAUUUGGCACACGUAUAAUGACGUUUCCAUAUUCCUUGAGUAAGCAAGCAUGUUUAACUGGUGCAUGCACCAUUUGCUUUAAUUUUCUGUAAAUUGGGGAUGUGAGGUUGGAGGACUGAAGGAUAAAAAGGGGCAUGCAUGUGAAUAGUUGCUAAUUCUCAACCUCUGAAGUUGGAAUGAGAGACUUGAACUAAGACCAAACUUGCCGCAAAGCAUCCUGUUGCAUCAUUGCUUAUUAGUGGCUCGGAAAAUUCAUUUACGUCGAUUUCUCUCUCUGGCCCAUAGAAGGGUUGUUGCUGCUAAGCAUAGUUUUCAAAUGUCCACUGGAAACUGAAUAACUGGAAAACUGUUAGAUGUAUACACUAUAUAGUUUGAUUGUUGUGAUGCAAUCCGCUUUAAGAUCUGGUCGAACAGUUAUUUCUUUAAAGUGGUGAUCCAAUGACUGUUGUUUCUUUUGCAGGCUGAGAAGAAGAAUCCGGUUGGUCUGCAAGAACAAGUAAUUAUAUCUAUUUUUUUCAUACCUAUUUGGGAUAAAGGAGGCUGAAUAUUGAGAUGAAGCUGAUAUAGGUGCACGUUUUGCAGGUUUUUGUGAGAAAAGUGAUUGAAUUACAUGAUAGGUACCUAACAUAUGUCUACAAUUGUUUUGAGAGCCACGCUGUUUUUCACAGGUAUGAUGCUGUUGCUGCUGGUUCUGCGGGAACUUCUAUUUAUGCUUAAUCUCAAGUUCUCUGCUGUUCUGUAAGCUUGAAAGAAGGCUUCCGAGGUCGUCUUCAGUAAGGAGUCAGUGGAAGCUCAACUGCAGAAUUGCUGGCCACUUUUUAUGACAACAUACUAAAGAAAGGUGGUGGUGAGAAGUUGACUGAUGAAGUUAUUGAGGAAACGCUUAAGGUAUUAUUUUGCACUUACACACUAAUGGGCUAAUCACAUCACAUUCUACCGUUCUCGAUUCCUUUUUCUUUGGUCAUUGCACUCGUGGUAAAGCUGGUUGCCGAUAUGGGUGAUAAAGAUCUAUUUGCUGAGUUCUACAGGUGAUUAUUUAUCCAGCUCUUGCUAUUACCUGCCUGCAAUCAGAAGUCCUCUGUGGGCAAACCAUAUUGACGGAAUCUAUUGGUUAUUAACUAUGGGAGGAAAAAGCUUGCGAGGCGACUUCUUUUUGAUUAGAGUGCUAAUGAUGAUCAUGAGAGAAGUAAUUUGACCAAGCUAAACCUACAUAAUGCGGCAGUCAAUUCACCUCAAAGAUGGAGGGAAUGGUCGGUUGCCCUAAUUGUCACUGCUGAUUAACUGACUUCUGCAAUAUUUGAUGCUAGGCCAACUAUUUUCCACAAUUUGCCGAAUUAUUUUUCUUUCAGAUGAGAGAUUUGACAUUGGCAAGGGAAAACAAAACUAGUUUUGAAGAGUAUCUCAGCAACAAUCCUAAUGCAAAUCGUGGGAUUCACUUGACGGUUACUGUUGUGACAAUUGGCUUCUGGCCGAGCUACAAAUCUCCUGAUUUGAAACUUCCAGCAGAGAUGGUAUGCGUGUCAUCCUUUUCAUCUUUCGCCGUUUCUUCAAGGAAGCGUUCUGUGUGCUGCGCGUAUGUGUAUCCCCUUCUCCUUUUGUCGCACUACAUUUAACAAUUUGCUUUUUGCUAGAGUUGCUAAUAUCACUGGUCGUUUUUGUGUCAUCUUAGGUAAGGUACGAUGAGGUUCUCAAGGAAUUCUAUCAGAAAAAAACGAAAGAGAGAAAACUAACGUGGAUAUACUCCUUGGGUACAUGUGACAUGGUCUGAAAUUUUAAACCAAGAACAGCGGGGCUGAUUGUCACAACUUAUCAGGUCUCUUGAAUAUAAUUGUUCCAUCUUUUUCCACCCUUCUCUUUUCCUUUUGUUUCCCCCUCCACAGUCGCCAGGAUAGAUAGAAGGGGUCACCUGCCACAAAAGGACACGCGCGAAUAGGCAUCUGCUUUGCUGCUUUUCAACACCUCAGAGAGAUUAAGUUAUUCAGAGAUCAUGAACCAGUUAAAUCUGAGCAACAGCAACGUUGUUAGACUUCUGCACUCAUUGUCAUGUGCCAAGUACAAAAUUAUCAAUAAAGAGCCAAAAACAAAGACAAUAUCAUUGACCAAUCACUUCGAAUUUAAAACGAUGUUAAUUGACAAAUUGAGAAGGAUCAAGGUAUAUAUUGUUGCUCGACAUUUUUCCAUAUUUUUCCCUUAGCUUUCAAUUCCUAUGCAUUCAAAUGACUGUGAUCUGCCAAUCACCAGAUUCCACUCCCUCCUAUGGAUGAGAAAAAGAAAGUAAUUGAAGACAUUGAUAAGGAUCGGUGCUAGGCCAUAGAUGCAUCAGUUGUGUGCAUCAUGAAGAGUUGGAAAGUUUUAGGUUAUCAGCAGCUGGUUAUGGAGUGUGUCGAGCAGUUAGGAACCAUUCUUUAGGUCUCUGAUGAUCGCUAUCUUUUCUCCUAAUUAUUGUUUUUUUGCUCAUCUCCCUUGCAAAUGUGUGCUCAUCUUUAUUACAUAAGAACUUGUCCAUUGCAGCCUGAUUUUGAGGCGAUCAAAAAGCGGAUAGAAGAUUUGAUCACUCAGGACUAUAUGGAGAGGGAUAAAGACAAUCCUAAUUUGUUCAAAUAUCUUGCAUGAAAAACUGCUAGUCUUCCGUCACCUACAGAAGUUGCUGCAGAUAUGGGAAACGGCAGAGGGGAGUUCAAUCAUUUUCUUUCCAAAGGUUUUAGAAGAUCCAUGAGUUCAGCUGUACUUCUUCCACUUGAUCGAUUGGGAGUGCACGAGCUGAAAACACCUGUACGUUUUGCUUUGAGUGCCAAGUAUCAAUGGUUAAAGAAUUUGCACCCAUCCUGGAAGAUAUCAUGUAAUGACUGAUCCUUAGAGCAGGACCAUCCAGCGUCUUCUGUAUCAGAGCACACAAAUGACUAUUGGUAUUUUUGGGUUAAUUUGUCCUUUGUCUCAAAUCUCAAGAAUGAGAUUCUACUUUUUUUUAACAUAAAUUAUUAUUCUGAUUUCGGUCUGUGCAGCAAUACGUCGGAACUUUCUUUUCUUCUGAACUCUAGCAGCAAUUAGGUUUUUUACAGCCUUGUUUCAUACUGGUUCUUCAUCGAAGGGUAAUUUAUAAUUCUCACUUCAUUUUGGGUAUGUGUGAUGGUGAAAUAACUUCAAGAAUUUGAUCAUAGUAUUGUGUUAGAAUUUUGGGUGAGUGCAUUGCCAAACUCAUGCUGAAUCAGUUGACCAUGCAAAGUUCCUGUGACCAAUAAAUACACAUGAUUGGUCAAAAUUCGGGAGGUCCUAAGAAUUUGAUAGCAAAAUUUGUGGUCCAGCACUGAGAAGUGAAAUUAUAUCUUUCGAUGUUGUGUAUUGAAGCAGCCUUCAGACAGAUUUGGUAUGGUUUUAAACAAAAGUCUCAAGUGCAUGGGAAUGAAUUCGCCCGUUCAGCACUUUGUCUGCAAGAACAAGUAAUUCUAACUUUUUCAUGUCUUAUUUUGGAUAAAGGAGGCUGAUUAUCCAGAGGAAGCUUAGACAGGUCCACGUCUUGCAGGUUUCUGUGAGGAAAGUGAUUGAAUUACAUGACAAAUACCUAGCAUAUGUCAAAGAUUGUUUCAAGAACCACCCUCUUUUUCAUAAGAUAUGCUGCUGCUAGUUCUGCUUCUGGGCAUCCCUGUUCAUGCUUAAUGUCAAGUUCUCUGCCCUUCUGUACGCUCAAAAGGAGGCUUUCGAGGUCUUCUGCAAUAAGGGUGUCGUUGGAAGCUCAAGUGCAUAGCUACCGGCCACUUUUUUUUGACAAUAUACUAAAGAAAGGGGGCGGUGAGAAGUUGAGUGAUGAAGCUAUUGAGGAAACGCUUGGGAAGCUGCUGUUUUGCAUUAUACAGCAAUGAGCUAAUCAAAUCACAUUCGACUGCUCCUCAUUCCUUUUUCUUUGGUCAAGGCACAGGUGGCAAAGCUGCUUGCCUAUAUCAGGGAUAAAGAUCUAUUUUGCCGAGUUCCAUAGGUGAUUUUUUAUCCGCCUCUCACUGUUACUUGCCUGCAAUGAGAAGUCUUCUGUGGGCAAAACUGCUGGCCACUUUUUUUGUUAUUCUAUCUGCUUCACAUCGUGCUUUGUAAAUUGCUCUGUUUGUUGGCACUAAUCCUCUGUUUUAUUUUUAUUUAUUGAAAUUUGAAUUUAUAAAAUAACAUAUGUGUACUAUUGAACUAGUGUGAUUUCUGACCAAAAAAAAAAAAUAGUGUGAUUGGUCAUUUUCUAACUAUUAUUAUUAUUAUUAUUAUUAUUAUUAUUAUUAUUAUUAUUAUUAUUAUUAUUAUUAUUAUUAUUAUUAUUAUUAUUAUUUAAUUUAGAAUUUUUAUUUUAUUUUUCCUAACAGUGAUUAGGGGCUCUUACAUUUUUUGAAAUGUUAGUCUUUUUAAGCCUAAUCUCUUAACAUUUGGAGGGUUGUGUUUAUUCGGACAUAACUUCUUCUCAUUGAAAUUCGAAAUUAUAAAAAAAAAAUUUGAUUUUUAUUCCGGAUUUUCAAUAUAUCUUUUCAAUAUGUUUUUGAGAAAAUAUAUGUUUGGAACAAACUUUUCCUGAAAUGUUGCAUUCGAUUCUGAAAAGAUUGAUAUAUUCAUGGUUUUACGUCUCAAUUUUUUUAAUUCACUUUUUUUUCCUUUUUUUCUGAAAAGAUAUACAGCUUGCUUUCCAGUUAUUUCCUUUUGAGAAAUCCUUGAAAAACUACCAAAAUUGUUAAAUGGUAUUCUCACUAAGACUUUGUUAUAUUCAGGAGGAUUUUUGCAAGGUAGAGCAAAUAAUUCCUUGAAGAGACGCCUCAAAAUCCGAUUCAAUUUCUUCCCAUUCCAGACUAUAUUUGCCAACGAGAUCUCGUUGUUUCCAGAGCAAAACAGAACUCUGAAAGGGUCCUACAGAGACGCCACGACGCCGUCCAGGUCUCUGGCCAGACAGCACCCCCGCAGGGUUGUUCACCUCAGCCGCCCUGUGUUUGACUCGCUCCUGAAGGUGAGGAUCCAGUGCCUCCGUUCCCUUGCAGAGCAAAGAGGGGUCGAAGCUGCUAGUGACUGGAGGGCCUCAGAGCUUAAACGGGGGUUGGUAUCUGGCUUUCUGGAUCGAAUCGCAUGGGCGUUCAGUAUGGUGAUCCCUGGUGCGAACACAGAGAGCACCCACAAACUGAGUUUUUCUCUCUCCUUUUAAUUUUACAACGCUCCAAGAAAUUCUGUUCAUUGACAUUCGAUUCGGCCUGCGGCUGGGUUGCCGACUCAUCGCUGCUAGGCGCCGCUGAGCCAAAGACACAUCCAGGUUGUCGCUGUUGCCAUCCAAGUCGCGUGUCGCCCUUGUCGGAGUAGGGCAAAGCUUUGUCAAUGCCGACUUACACCCUUGUACGUCAUAGGUAUGAGCCUCGAACAAUCUUGUUGAUUAUCAUUUAGCAUGAUUAUAUGAUUAUCUUGGGUUUGCGUUAGAUUUUCGGCGAAACUAGGAAAUCACGAUAUGUUCGAUGCUUGGGUCUUACCCUCUAAUUAUUACUCUGUGUGUGUAUAUAUAAACAAAUUAACAUGAAUUGCUGUCAAUUUGGCAUUGGAGGAUUUAUCUUAGCCCCUAGUCUGAUUUGGCAUCUAAGUAUAUUCAGAUUUUAAAGAUUGAUUGCUAUAAUGGUAUACAUUAGCAUUGGAAAAUUUGAUUACUACGUCGGCUAUGGGCCACUGGCACCUUACCAAUUGGAUGGGAUGAGGAGUUUAACAUGCUACCACCUAAGGAUAGCGAUUCGUCUGUACGCACUCGUCGACAAACCUUGAAAGUGCCUCACGACCUGCUUAAAGGACAAUGGUUUGAGGCUGGGGAGAUAUUAGGACCAAGUCAAUCAAGUUCAGAUUAGCCGGCUUAGCCUGACUCUCUUGGCCACUUACAAAUCAAAGUAAUUUAGGUCUAGGAACAUGGUUUGGAAAAGGAACCUUGAAAAGCCAAUAGAGAACCAAAGAAACAGGAUCUCCAAAGAUGGAAAGGACUGAGUUCCAAUUCACUAAUUAGGAGGUGAUGGAGUUAGAAAACCUCACACUGCAUAACUCCAUAAAUCUCAAAACAAUUAAAAUAUCAGCUAAAAUUAAUCAUAGACCUGACUCUAAGGUUUUGGUCGAUGGAGAAUCCACAUUGAACCUUAUUCCAUACGGCUCAGGUCAUCUACUUUUCGUGAUGCGUACUUUGCUGCUUUAUCUUCGUGUUACCGAUCUUGAUUGUGAUUGUUUAUUUAUUUGGUUGCCCAUUCAUGCAUGGUCACCACGUAAUGGUUUAAGUUUUUAAAAUGGAAGAAGAUCACAUACAAAUAUUUCAAAAAAAUGAGAACAAAAUGGUGCCUAAUUAGACUUGGUGUAACCAAGUCCAAAUUUUUAGGAUCUCUGGUUCAUGGAAAGUGCAAUGACUUCUCAUAUUUCACUUGACUCCAUCAACCUAGAAUAGGUUAGUGGUGACUCUCAAAAGCAAAAGAACAUGUUAAUCAUAAUGACCAAAUUAACCAAAUGUCGCGAAUUAAGACCCGCUUAGCAUAACAUCAUACGAGGCUUCGAUUGUUCUCACAUGGCAAGUCAUCAUUGUAAUUGACGCCCUGUCCAUCCUCCGAGGGAGGCUCGCGCCUAUACAUACUAGCAAAAAAAAAAAUUACACAGAUUAGCAUAUCAUUGAUUAUGUUUGAAGACAUGAAUCAUUCUAGAAGAUGAGACUGUAAAAUGAAAAUUAUUUGAAGGAUAAAAACGUGCUUGAAAAUCGUAACUAAAGAGAAUCUUUGAAAAAAAAAAUGGUAUUUUAGUGAACGUGCUUUAGAUGGAAAUAAGAUAAGCAUACAUUGACACUAUUAUAAGUCAUUGAGAAAAAUGUUUGAAAAGUCAACCUAUUACAUUUUGGUUAAUUUAGUCCUAAUUUUUUUAAUUUUAUCAAUUGACUCCUAAACUCUUCUUAUGUUUUGCCAAUUGAGUCAUUUCGGUUAAUUUUAGCCAAAAAUCGCUGACAUAGAUGCUGGGGUAUCCUACAUGGUAUGGUCAGCAUUAACGUUGACAAUUUUAUAAUUUUUUAAAAAUUUCCAUUUUUUUAUUUUCUUUCAUUGUUUCUUUUUCUCUUUUUUUCUUCCAACCCCCAUGAGGGUAGGCCAACCCUCAUCGGUCAAGGGCAAGGGAAGUGACCCUUGCCCAAUGGCUAACGAGGGUUGGCGGGACCCUCGCCGAACUUGGUUGAAAAAAAAGAGGGAAAAGAAAGAUAUAAAAAGAAAGAAGAUAAAUAAUAAUAAAAUUAUAAAAAAUGUUCACUUCAGUGCUAGUCAUCCUAUGUGGCACUACCGGUGUCCGUUUCAUCGAUUUCCAGUUAAAAUUGACCAUAUGGUUUCAUUUGGCAAAACGUGUAAAGAUUUAUGAUUCAAUUAGCAAAAUUGAAAGGUUUAAAACUCAAUUGACUAAAGUACAAUAGGUUUAAGACUUUUUUGAUGAUUGUUCCAUAAGUUAUAAUUAUCUCAACUCUUCCAAAUUUCCAAUUUUCCAUUAAAACUAGGGGUGAGCAUCAAGGGUAGAACCUAGAACCUGAGAACCAAACCGAUGUGGACUUGUUUGGCUCCAAGUUCCAAGGUAUACAGAGUUGAUUUCAAAUUCUAAAAAUUUGGGAACUUGUUUUAACGGAUAGGUUGCAAGUUCUAGAUUGGUGGUACUUAGAACUUAGAACCUAGAAUUUGGAAAAAGUUUCUAUAUUUUUCUUAGUUUAUAUUUUCACACAAAACUUGCGAUACUCUAUGGUAUUUAAUAAUGAGUGUAUAAUCUGAAACCACUAGUCUGAACUUCCAUUUUAUAACUAAGACUUUUACAUUGUUAAUGUUUUAUAUUUUUUCGUGUGUCUAAAUAUAAGUUAUGAUCAGUAAAUUGUAACAAUAAGUGGUAGUAAUUAAAGAUUAUAAUUCAUUGUAAUCGUUCAAUUUAUAAUAUAAGUGGAACAUAAGUAGACCAUGGAACCAAAACGAGAACCUAUAAUGGGAUAAGUUCUAGGUUUCAAGGUAUAAAUAGUAGAUUCUGGGUUCCAAAAACUGAGGAACUUAUUUUAACAGGAAGGUCUUAAGUGGAAUAUGUAUAGAACCUAGAAAUGUUUACCCCUAAUCAUAAUGAUAAUCAUAUUUUGACUUAUUAUAUAUAGGAUGGACCAUCAUUAUCGUAUUUUGGAAAAUGGUUUCUGAUUUAUUUAAAGAGGAAGUCCAUUUUUUGUAUUUAAAUAAACUUUUCUUGAUAAUUAUGUAAAGAUUUUCUAUUGACUCAAUUUUAAAAUAAUCCAAACACUGCAAACAAGGAAAAUAUUCCUCAAUAGUAAAUUUUUACUAAGACAAUUGGUUUUUAAAUGUUAAGUACAUCAAAUGGGACCAUAAUUAUGCAUUAGAAUGUGGAAAUGAUUCAUCCAUAGUCGUACCGUCCAAGAAAAUGUAUCCUUAUUUGGUUAUAUUCGAUCGCACUCAGUCUUCGGUUUUCGUACAAAUGCAAUAAAUUGACUCAUAUUUAUAUAUUUAACAAGUUGAGAUUGAAUUGCUAAUUAUCAAUUACACAUCUCACGGCAAAAAGUUAGUGCACUACAUACGUACCUUUUAACAAAAUCCUAUUUGUAUAUCAUUAGAUCGAUUCCUCUAAUUAAUGAAGUUGAUUAAUGAGAUAAUACUUUUUAAAAAGAGUAAAAAUUGAAAGAACUAUAACAUAGCUAUCUUGCAACUCCUCCGGUCAUUGAUGAAGCCAUCGUAGUACAUAUAUUUUAAUUAUCAUCAUUAGAGAUAAGUACAUUGUAAAACGUCCUUACAUCAUAUAUCAGUGUAUAUAUUAUCAUAAUAUGGGUUAAUAUAUUUGUCAUAAAUUUGAAAUGACGUCAAUGUAUUGGAAAGCUACUUGACCAUACGGUUCACUAAUUAAGGAGGAACUAGGCAAAAUUAUAGUAGUUCUUGCCAAGUUCGGAAGAACUAUAAUGUGUUUAAAUGAGAAAUUUAUAUCAAGCACCAACUCAUCUGAUAAUGGAAGCUUGGUGACGUAGCUGUGGUCUUCUACAUCCAAUUUCUGUCAAGCCCUUCUCAAAAGCUACUUACAUUCAGCACACAUAUGUUACCUAACUUCAUCAAAUAAAUGUAAGUUGUAAUCAAUACCGACUGUAUGGCUAAACCAAAUGUGUGUUGAAGAACAAAUCUACAAAAUAUAUGAUUAAACACUCUAACCAUAUUUACCAUGAAGAGUUUCAUAAAGUAACACAAACUUUGCUUAAAUAGUCUCUAAAAGGACAAAGGAGACAACCAGAGUAAUUCACAAACUUUGCUUAAAUAGUCUCCAGAGGACAAAGCAAACAACCAAAUAUAAAUUUCAAACUUCAGCUAUACCAUAUACUAUUAUUUAAAAUCAUGGGCAUUUCCAUUAGAUUUCAUAAGUGAUCCCUACUUUGAGCAGCCUCUUGUGGGGAACGUUGAACACGUCCUCUGGCUGCCUCACGCACCUCUUCAACCAGUUGUACAGGCAAUUGAUUACAACCUUUUUGCAAAGCCUGAACCCCUCGAAGCUUUCACCUCACUCUGUCCCAUUAGAUACAUGAUCCCUCCAAUCUUGAUUGCUUCAUCCACCAAUCCAAUGAUCAUCGCGAUUCCAUGGUCACUGGCCUCACCUCGCUCGUCGGCGUAGGGUGCGUUGUUGUGAAUGAAAUCCUUCGUUGUGAAUGAAAUCCUUCAAUUGGUCAAUCAAGACCUUCUCGAAGAAUUGCGGCUCUAUCUUUGCAUCUCGAUAUCCGUAUCUCACAACGCACCGUUACAUGCCCGACACCUGCGGCUCCACCUGUCGAAAGAAGAACCGCUCCUCGAGGGGCACGUUGCUUAUGGGUAGUGACUUGAUUGAGACGAAGACAAGGACUGAGUGCAAUGCAGGUACAUGGGCGACAUAUUGAGCGAAUAUUGGGGAAAUGCCAUGGACAAGCUCGGUGUAGAAUAGGGCGACCCCAGGGGCCCGGUGGAUCGUGUUUGACACGAUCGUGACAAGGGCUUCUCUUGAUACCUUAUUCUCAAGCUGAAACUCAUACUUCUUUCGAUAUCCGUAAUUCCAUAGCAACAUAAUGGUCAUCAUCACGGCAGCGAAGAAGAGUGGGACGUAACCCCCAUCCAAGAAUUUGUAGAGGACUUAGCUUAGAAACACGUACUCUACGAGCCCGAUGGUGAGGACAUAGAGGAUUACGAGGAGUAUGUUGGUCUUCCAAAUCAUGACCAUCACGAUAACGAGGAAUGUGGACGUGAUAGCGAAAACAAAUGCUACCGCAAUUCCUGCAGUAGAGAUUCCCGAAUAAAUGUGAAUUUUUCUUUCAAUAAUCCCAAUUAAAUAGCUCAAUCAAUUAGAGAACUUGCAUAAGUGGGCUAAAUGUGUGUAUAUAGUGUGAUCCUUUUUGCUUACCGUAAGCAUUGCCCAACUUCAAUGUGGUUUUGAAGCCAAGAGUGACUCCAACACAGGUCAACAUGAGGAGGGUGUUGACCUCAGGUAUGUAAAUCUGACCCUCGUGCUUUCGCGAAGUGUGCACGACCUUCACGUUUGGGAAGCACCCGAGCGCGACUGACUGCUUAACUAUGGCAAACGUGGCUGAUAUCAUGGCUUGACUUGCUAUUAUCGCCGCCAACACCGCAAUCACAAACAUUGGCCAAUACACCGAUUCUGCAUCAAACCAUCAGAUAAAUUCAUUCGAUGUUCCAACAGGAUAAAUGAUGCAUCGGAUGAAGUAGCAUGAGGAAGCUUACUGGGUAGUGAGCUGUAGAAAGUGCUAGCAACAUUUUCACUGUGCUUUCGGAGAUAUGCCGCUUGACCAAAGUAGGCGAGGAUGAUUGAAGGAAGGACAACUAGGCAUGAACUCAAUUGAAUUGAGAGGAUAUUAAAGUGCCCCAGAUCAGCAAACAAUGCUUCAGAACCUAUAAUCAAAGGCUCAAAGAGUAAAACCACAAUUAAUUCUUCAAAAGAAGUUAUAUAUCUUGGUUAAAAUGAAAUAAGAAUUAACUAAUAGAUGAAUCAUUUAAAUGAUGUUUAGCUAUAUGUUUUCAGUUAUAAUAAUUAAUCGAUGAAAAGAUUCAGACGUUUGGAUUACCAGUGAGGCAAAGAAUCACCCCUCCAAGAGAAAUCCAUGCUUCCUUUUUGUUUCUCAUGAAGUAAUGGACGAUGUAGAGCGGAUUGACGGCUUUGAUCACUCCCGAGUCAUGUUUCGCGAUAUUAUAGAUGCCAAUUAGUCCGAUACCAAGGAACCAUAUAGAGAGAAUCGGGGCAAAACUGUAUCCAACUUUGUGAGUCCCGAACCUUUGGACUUGAAACAGAAGGAUCAAGAUCACCACAGAGAUCCACAUUAUUUGAUUUUCUCCAAGUGAACUUGCAGCUCCUUGUAUUCCCCCAACAGCCGACAAUACUGCCCCCAGAGAAGAAGAAAAGAAUCAGAACCAUCUAUCAAAAUUCAACCGAGAGAAGUAAUUGUAUCAAUAAAUAAGCCGAGACGAUGUAUAUUGUUGUUUUAUACUACCGAUUGAAUGUGCUGUCUCAUUUCCUUCGUAGAUUAAGGGAAAAGUUAGAAACCUAUUGGUGCAUCCUUUUCUUUUAAAAAAAAAAAUCUUAAUGAAAAUAUUACUACCGGAUAUGCAUGGUGUAAGAAUUCCAUCUCCAAUGACCAUGGCGGUGCCCAGAAUAGUUACAAAUAAGAGCAAGUACUUGGCUGCUUCGCUAUUCUCGAGAAAUAAUUUCAUGGCAGAGGCCCGCCGGAAGUGGCGGCUCGGCACCUCAAGUCGGUAGUUUGAGACUUCCUUGUCUUCAGCUUGUUGGUUAGGGGUCAAGCUUGCCUUAGCAUAGCGGCACAUUAGAGAGUACAAAGCAAAUGUCCCUCCUAUAUUGUUAUAGCCAAAAACCUAACUACAUUAGUGCAAUAUUUGGUAUAGACAAAAAAUAAAAAUAAAACCCUUGUAUGUCAAAUCAAAUUUUGUGGUAUAAUGGUGUGAGAGGAAUCGCUUACCAUCCCCAUUGUCAUUUGCCGAUAAAACAAUGAAGACAUACUUGAUCAGGCCAAUGAGGAUGAUCGAAUAGAAGAUUAGAGAUAGCACUCCAAGGAUAUCGUCUUCAUGUUUUAUCCCGUCAGGAAAAAUUCCUGACAUGACAUAGAGAGGCGAUGUGCCUAAAUCGCCGUACACCACCCCGAUGCUUUGAAUAGCAAGCUUCAAUAUCAUCACCCAUGCCAAAUUCUGCACUUAGAAAGACAGUAACCAAAUCAUGAUCAUGAAAGCAUUUCCUUAGCUUCACUCUUGCUGCGAUUUUGUUUUAAGUUUCAAUUGGUUAUAAUAAAUAGUCCAAGAACAAACAUAGGAAACAAAAGAUGCAAACAAACAAUUCGAUAGAAUGGUAAACAUUAAACUCCGCAUAUCUCUUCAUUUAACUCCAUUAUUUUCACUUCCCUCUAUAUUUUCCUAAUCACAAGCCUUCAAUUUUCAUGCCUUUUAAACUGGAAAUUUAUCUAGCUAAUUAGCUGAUAUAUAAUGGCAAACAUCACGACAUUUAACCAUCCUCUUAGUAUUCUACCUUUCUUCCCUAUGCAUUUUUACAUUUAGCUAAUUCGAGUGAUAUGCCAUUCUCAAAUUCAAAACAACAUAUCCCUUUCAAAUUCAUAUUAUAAUAUUUUUUAUCAACUCACAUGAUCGAAAGGAACUGAAAAAAAAAAUGCGCGUCAUUUUUCACUGAUGGAAUUUCAAAAAUUGUAUUAGCUACUCAUUCAUUCAAAAAAAAAAAUCUAGGGACUAUAUUCGAACUAAUUAUACCAAGGAGUAGCCUGAAAUUUUUUUAUUCCAACCGGAGUAUUUUUCAUGAAAGAAAAACUUUAUUCUUUCUUUUUGCUUUUUCAGGGAACGAGAAGAACACUGACCUCUUUGGAGGAAUAACCAUGGUCCGACUUGAAUCGGGAGGUCUCUAUGUCGAACGAAUCGAAUUUCUUGAUUUUCCUCGAUCCCUUGUCUCCCUCAUGUCCGUCAGUCGAGUCGACUUCCAAGACCUUCGGCCUCUCUUCCUCUGUUAUGCCGUCCCGCUCCAUUGAAGAAUCACAGCAAGAGAGAGAGAGAGGGGGGGGAAGAGAGAGACGAGAGUGAGCGGGAUAAUUACGUGACCACCUGCUCCAUAGGAGAAACACAGUCGACGCAUCACAUGGGAAGGAAAAGAAGGAUUCGUUGUUACGCGUUUACGUCUGCUGCAAAAGGGAAAUUGACCAAGAAGGGACCACCCUAUUUUUCCAUACGUAUCUCUUUACAAUCUGCUUUCCAGUUUUGGAAAAAAAAAAGGUUUGACUUAAUACCAUCGAUCGUGAAAGCGCGUGAAUCUUUUUUUUUUUUAGGUAAUGGGGUCUCUCGAAAAAGGCAUUAGCACAUGAGAUACUUUGAGAGAGAGAGAGAGAGAGAGAGAGAGAGAGAGAGAGAGAGAGCCGUCUUCAAACCGUCCUUCUGAUCUGUAGGUUAUAAAUUAGGGCAUUCAUCCGCUUUUAAUCUGUGUUAAUCUGAACGUGGUUGAUGUUGGUAAAUAUCGGUAACGCAUUAAUUAAAAAACUUUCUCCGAACUCCUCCAUAUAGCCAUUAUAACAUUUUAUUUUUCUAGUCAUUUGCCGUCGAAACUACCUAUUUAGUCAUAUGAUAUCUUUUUCGUGGCUGCUCGUGCUUUUAUCUUGUUGUCAUUACUUGAGGAAUUAAGUCUGAAAGUUGAAAAUAGCGGUGCGGGCUUAUCACGUGAUUUUUUUUAAAAGUGCAGUUUUCGAUUUUUUACGUUUGAACGUACAAAUUUCCAUAUGUUAACAAUAAUCCUAUUUUAUGGCCAAAAAACGAGACUCGAUUUUUGGAACAACAUCUGUCUCUAGAAGUAAAAGAUACCGUAUGCGUUGGUCAUUAAUUCGCCGGGGUAUCACUGAGAUCAAUCACCUAACUCCAAUUUCGAGCAAGGCGAUGACUUCAUUACUAAAUUAAGAACCCUCUUUUGGAAGAUUAUAUUUUCAGUAAUUCACUGAAAAGAUUAUGGAGAAAGUUCGUCGGUGAGGGUAUAAAAAGCAUGGGAUAUAUUCAAACGAAAUACUGCUGUUGCAUCAUUGUACGGAUCAAUUUGGCGAAUCGAUCAUCUAUCCCUAUCUUUUAGUUUUUAAUUUGAUUAGCAUAGUUGUUAUUAACAGAGAGUAGACUUUAAACAUGGUUGGGCGGACCGCUAGACAAGUGAAGUCCUAAGGUCAUAUUUGGUUGUAUGGAUUUUAGGUUAAAAUAGGAUUGGAUAAAUAGGAUAAGAAAUCUGAGAAUUUUACUAUAUUAUAUUUACCAUUUAAUGUAGCCAAUAAAGCCAUAUACUUUCAUAUUCUAUCACGUCAACUAUUUGAUAUGAAUUGCAAAUUAGUGUAAAUGAACUUGAAAAUGCACAAAUAAAAUGGGUAAGACUCUCUCAAAUAAAAAAACAGAGAUAACCUCCAUUAAUCAAUCAAUCAAUCAAGGGUUAUCAUAAUAUUAGAUAACAAAUAAGCUCAUUGCAACAUUCUAGAGCCACUAUGCGACUAUGAUAAGAAAUGUGAAUGAGCAUUGGUAAUACUGACAAGGUAGAUCCAUUAGCGUAUGUCAAGAAAGGAAAAAGAAAAAAAAAAUUAGAAAAUCUAAAAUAAAUUGAAAAAUAUCAUACACGUUAGUGCCGGCUAUGUCACGUAAAAUGGCUGAUGCUUGAUCAUAUUAUCACGUUAGUAAUUUCAGGCCAAAAUUGAUCAGGUUGACUACAUUGGAAAAUUGUUAAAAAAUUUAAGACAUAUUGAUUAAAUUAGAAAGUUUAGAACGGAAUUGACAACCAUGUAAUAAGUUUAGGAUUUUGUAGGCAAUUUUCCCUUUUCUUGUCACGUGUUCCAUUGAUUAAACGUGAAACUAAAUUUUAAACCUUGAUUUUGGAGAAUUUGAAUUUGGAACCUUUAGAUUUUUGGGAAGUGGAACAAUAAUUUAAUUUUGUUGAGCUUACUGUUUUAUUAAAUUAAACUUAAAAGUCUUAUUACAUUAAUUACUUUCCGCACCAGGGUUGAUUAACGUUUUUGUGGUCCAAAUUUUUGAACAAACAUGUCCCGGUAGCCUUUUUUUUUUUUUUUAAGUAGAAGUAUUUUUCUUGCCACCGUUCGCAAAUUCAUGUUUCGGUGCUGAGCGCAUAAAGUCCAUUUGUUUUUGCGGAAGUCCAUUUGUUUUGCGGAAAAUGCAUGAUUUUAAAAAUAUUUUACUUAUAAAAAUAUAUGAGCAAAAUUUGUUUUCAUAGUUUACACAAAUUUUUAUACUUCAAUUGUUUCCAACAAAAAUAAAUAUUUUUUAAUUGCUAAUUAUUUUAAAUGAUACAAACAAAUAUUUUUAGGAAAAUAUUUUUCAAAUCAUUAAUUUUUGCAAACAAACAGGACCUAAGGACACCCGUCAUUUUAAAUCUAAAGAGUUGCUGAGAAAUUCAACAAGUAUAUACUAUUGUAGAAAAUAUUUACUUAACCAGAUACAUAUAUACCAAAAAAGUAAAAAAGAAAAGAGAGUUGGAUCUUAGUAAGUUCUUAAAUUGCUAAGUCUUCAACUUAGACCUCGAGGCUUCCUAGACAUUAAGCAACUAGAGGGGAUUCCCUCCUCUUAAGAAAGAUAAAUAUACAAAGGAGAGCUUGGGGUUGGGCACGUGGGUAUCCGUACGUUAAAAUAAGAAACACAAUCCUGUCAUCCUGCUAGGAGACUUGAUAGGCAGGGUAGCCUCAACUCGGAAGUUCAUACUUUGCCUGAUUACAUAUAUAAAAUAAAAAAGGGGGCCGAUACAUAUAUACAAUUAAAAAGAGAAUCUAUUACAUACGUAUUUAGCCUCUUUGCUUUGCUCAUUUUUGUCACGCCCCGAACCCCGAGCGCGCGCGCAUCCCACUGUGGUCGAUCAAAAAUGCGACAUCCCAGGAUAUGUCGCCGACCCAUUCAUUUCUUUUACGCAUGCGGAAGCGAAACAAAUCUCCUGACAACAUUUAACUUGGGAUAGAAAAGCAGGCAAUCAAUCGCAAUACCAAACACCCAAUUACAAACACAGAGGGUUUAAAUACAACACUGGACUUUCUGCAAAAUAGACCAGCUCGACAAAAGGGGGACUAUCCUACAACCGACUAGCAGGACACGUUCUCCAACCCUUAUGACUUCACCUCUGCAACUCCUCAAGGCCUCAACUGAAGCUAUCUGGCCACUCCGUCCACCGGGGACCUGAAAUUUUAAUCCCACAACCGAGAUGAGACGAUCUCUCAGCAAGUUCAACCCCCUAAACCCCUAUUAGAAAGAAAAUACGCCCCGGGUGGCCUAGCCACAUCACACAGAGGACUUACCUCGGCUCAGCCUUUAUCUGCAGGUUAGCACAAUUUAUAUAAACCAACCACGUGCAAUUAUGAUAACUAGACAACCAUGGCACAAUCACAUUAUCAAACAAUUCAACCACUUGGAUCGUCUCAGCGAUCAAUCGACUCGGCCGAUUACAUGUCAUUCUAGCAAAUCAAUCCUUGCUCUCAACUAUGGCCCUACUUGGCAAAUUUAAAAUCAGUGGCAUCACGGCCCCACUCGGCGCGACCUUUAACAGGUGGCAAUUCACGGCCCCACUGGGCGCGACCUCUAAUAGGUGGCAUAUAACGGCCCCACUGGGCGCGACCUUUAUCAGGUGGCAUAUCACGGCCCCGUCGGACGCGACCUCUAAUAGGUGGCAUAUCACGGCCCCGUCGGGCGCGACCUCUAAUAGGUGGCAUAUAACGGCCCCAUUGGGCGCGACCUUUUUCAGGUGGCAUAUCACGGCCCCGUCGGGCGCGACCUCUAAUAGGUGGCAUAUCACGGCCCCGUCGGGCGCGACCUCUAAUAGGUGGCAUAUAACGGCCAAUCUCCCAUCAAUUUCUACACUUAGGAUUUCAUAAAGAAUCCCUAUAAAUCAUAAUCACACUCAAUUCAUCACAACCAAUCAUCAAUUUCAAAUUCUAAAUGCACAGCAACGAUCAGCACGAAAUUCUGAGCAAAUAAGGUCCCAAUGAAAAUUUUCGGAAUUUAAUAAAUAAUUAAAUUUAUUCCGUAAAUAAUUAAAUAAUAAUAUCCAUAGUUUUCGAAAUCCUCACUCAAUUUAUAAUAUCCAAUCAUCAAUUUCAAAAUCCGAAUGUACCGUAGCGACCGGCACGAAAUUCUGAGAAUUUAGGGUCCCGACCAAAAUUUUCGGAAUUUAAUAAAUAAUUAAAUUUAUUCCGAAAAUAAUUAAAUAAUAAUAUUUUAAUAAUUUCGAAUAAUAAUAUAUUAUUAAAUUAUUUAAUGAUUUCGGGAUAUUUAAAUAAAUCAAAAGUAAAUUCCUUUAUGUCACAUCAAUAUUUAUAUUAAUAUAAACACCCACUUAACUUUAAAUUAAACACAAUUUAAGUUAAUCAAGCACAUUAAUAUAAUCUACACUUAAAUAAAUUAAACUAACCACCUAAUAACACUUAACAUAAACUAAACACACCUAAAGCAUCAUUAACCCUCUAAGCGAGGUUUAGUGAGCUAAACUCACCGGAUUAGCGAACCGAGCGGACCAAAACGACGGGGACGCCGAGGAGAACAACUUUCCUCAAAGCGGGCCGAGCAUCCCGGCUCGGGAAGGCGGCCAAAACGGGCCAAACGUCCGCUGCAUACCCAUUUUUCUUGGUUGCUGUCCAUGGCGGUUUGAGGCCGAGAAUGGGCGGAUCCGGCGCCGGUUGAGGCGGCCAAGGGCGGCGGAGGAAAGGCGAAGCUCCGGCGGCGACGAACGGCGGUUCACGGCGGCGAGGACGAGCUCCGGUAGCUCUCGCACGAGCUGAACAGCAGCUCGGGAUGCCGGCCAAGCGCGGGCGAGCGCGGACGCGAGCGGACCGGCGAGCAGCGCACGGGCGGCGCAAGGCGGACACACGGCGACGGCGGCGUGCGAGCGGGAGCGGACGACCAUGGCUGCAACUCCUUCUUCUCUGCAAUUUUCUGGUCUUCGCACAAUGAAGAUGGAGGAGAAGCCAACGAGAGAGAGGAAGAAGAGAGGGAGGAGAGAGAAGGAGUGGGGGCUCUUUUCUUUUCUUUUUUCCUUUUCUUUAAUCCCUCACACAUGGCCCACCAUGACCUCACAUGAGGUCAUCUUCCACUAUCUCCCACAACCUUUCUCCAAUGGGUUCAUUUUACUUUUCCGCCGGGGCAUGAAACUUUGUACAACAAAUUCUUCAAUUCCACUUGAUUCUCUUCCAAUUGAAUCAAAUUGAAGUUCAUAAAAUUAAUCCAAUGUCACCACACUUCAAUUCACAUCUUCACUUGUCCAUAGAACCAACUUAAGUCCCAAAAGCACAACCAAAGACGAGCUUACUAUUUCUCGAGCCAAAUUAACCAUUUUCGGAUUUAACUUGCCAAAGAACUCUGAUUGCAUGAAAAAUCUUCCAAAGAUAAGUCAAUGAUCCUAAAAUGAUUUGUGACACACCCAGACUUCCAAUUUCUGAAUUCGAUCUCAAUUUCACGGUUAAUUUCACUUUGGCACGAUACUAGCGUGGCCCAACCUACCGGGUAGCCUUUAGAAAUUUUCAUGCAUUUGACCUGUGGUUGAUCAUCUCAAGCCACAAUGUACAUCUUUGAGACAUUGGUGACUUUCGGUUGUCGGGGAAAUCUCAAGGUUUCAAAUACGAACACAGGGUACCCAAUCGAUAGAAAAGUCGGUCCAGUGUCGAUCGACAAGGAUUAUGUGAUCCGGUGGAAUCACCCACACCUGAUCACAUGCCUCUGUCGAGUCGACCUAUCUCCGAUCUCUAAUCAAUUUUAAAUUGUGCCGUAAUGACCCUUGCAGACUAGCUCGGUCGAAAAGUCACUUCCUGAUCAAAUUCUCGAGCCUGAUGCAUUAGAAACUCUUAACAGCUUCACCCGAUAGACUAGUUUUCACAUGAGUGGCCGACUCAAGGAAAUGAACUAUAUGCGUGCCAACGAAAUGCCUGUCUCAAUUUAUUGAAAAUAGAAUUGGAAAAUCGGGAUGUCACAAUUUUAGUGUAUGCCUGGUGGUUGAGCUGCAUGAUCAUAUCUUUUGUCAACUAUCGUCGACUUGUUUGAUGCUUUUUUGCAGGAGGGUUUACACUAUACGUACUCAAAAGCCAUCUCAUGUCUAGUCCCAACAACUGUAUAACAAGUAUAGAGAAACUGUUGGGAAUAACUGAUCCCCAAAAACAGGAUUCGACACUAAAUCGAACCCCUAAAUCAAUGCGGAAGACGAAGCCCGGGAAAACACGUAUCACCAAUCGUAAAGCACACCACGGAUUCGAGCGUACCUUAUUAGCCACAGAUUAGACACCGACGCCAAUAAGAGGAAGAGAAUCUGGCCCUGUUCGAUCCGAUGACGCCUUGAAGGGAAGAAGAAACGUGCCCUUUUGCCUUACUGUUUCUUCUUUUUCUUUUUGAGAGAGAAUGCGCGGGAGAGGAGAAGACGUACGUCAAUUCUGCCAAGAGGUGUCUUCUCUCUCUCUCCUCCCUUUUAUACCUUCCCCCAUCCACGGGCCCUAUUCCCGUGGGCCGGGCCUUUUGGGCCCAGCAUGGGCAGACGGGCCUUAAGCCCAUCACCAAUUAAAACCAUCAUAAACCUUUGAAGAGUACAUCAAUUCAGUGGUAAGAAAUUAGUAAUUGCGUUGUUUGUGCUCUUUUUGUUUAGUUAUAUGAUGGGCAUAUGAGAUAUUUGAAAGGAGAUAAUAUCAAAUAAAGAGGGUGUGCUCGAUUACUGUUCCCCAAGCACUUCCAAGUGAUCCAGUGGAACCAUUGAACGAGAAAGACGUGGCCUCUUCGAGACGGUUAAGGAUUCAAAAUAUUGCUAAGAUUGCCAGAAGUCGUUAAGUAAGUCCUGCUAAGAUGCCAAGCGCUAAAGAAAGAAGUCCAGCAAAAUAGCUGGAUUGACGUUUUGAAGAAGGUUUAGAACUUCAUUAUACCAAUUGAAUAGCUUAACACUUAAUUUAUAUAUGAAGUUUAGGACUUGUAGUGUCAUUUUUCCUCGAAAAUAUAUAUCCUUUUUGCCAGCAAUUUAAGUAUUUGAUAUAUUAGUCAAUCAAACACCUACUUUAAUAUUAGUGAUGGAAACUGAGCCAGUAAAAGAUAAAUAGUUACUUAAAAGUAUAGAUAGAAAUUGCCAUAUGUACCAACUUUAAGUGCUAAAUUUAAAAGAUCUCCAUGUCCUCAUUCUUAUCUUCACAUAGAUCAAUUAGGGUAUCCAAUACAUUGUCCUUCCUAGCAUAAUCCGAUGCUGCCCUCAUCUGCAGCCUUCUCUGUAUCAAUCCUUCGAACAGAUCCAACAUUUGCCCAGAAUACAUCUUCAUUCGACACCUUGUGGGUCAAUCUUCUUUAGCACCAGAAAAUACUCUGCAAUGUUAGGUUUUCCGGCCUCGAUUGUGAUCCGGGAAAUGACCUUCUUGCCGGAAAAAUAUUAGAAUACAUAAAAUAAUAAUAACUAUUGGAAAUACAUUGCAAAAAAUUAAGGAAAAAAAAAAACAAAUGCUGAGGCAUGCAAGCACUGUCUAAAGAUAAUUUCGUCCUUCAGAGUACGAAACUUAGUGCAUAAGGCUUCAGCAGUUAUUCUACCAAAAUACAAUAGAGCUUCUUCUGUACUCUGUACUAAAUAUUAGAAGAAAACAAAACAACUUAUGUGUAUAACCCAGCAAAAAGAAAAUGAAAGAUAUGAGAACAUAUUGUAUCAUCAAAAAUUGUGGUUUAAAGCUUAAUUUAUAUUUAAAUAAGAGAAAGAGAGAGCUAUUAGGAAAUCGUCGUAAAUCAGUUGGUCAUUAAAAGAAUGGCCGUUAUAAAAUAAUGAAAAGUUUAUGAAAUAAUAAAUCAUAAGUUAUAAAGCCCUUAGACGAUCAUUAUAUGGCCAUUAGAAAGCCAUUACAAAAAUUAUGACUUUAAAUACGAUUAUAAUUUCUAAGAAAUAUUUCAAAACUACUUAAAUAUCCAACAAUCAUACACAUAUUUCAAAAAGUUUUGAAAAGACGAAAUAGAACAAUGUUGGGUUAUUGGAGAGUAAUGCAUCGGAACAGGUGCUUGUUGGGCUAUGAAGCAAUAUAUUCAUGGAAUAGUAGGUAAAGUUUGAAACUUCUAUGAACUAAGAAUUUCUUUUUGUAAUUUUCACCAAUCACAUUACACUCUCACAAGGUUUGUUGUCUAACACGGUUUUGCCACUGUUCUUGACUCUCUGUUAUUUAUAUGAAGCAUAUAGCUCAUGACUGAGUUAAGAUUUGACUUCUUAGUGCAUUUGCUUCUUUUAGCCAUAAAUUUAAAGAGGAAAACUACGACUAUGGUAGGACAAAAGUCACUUUCUCGGGUUACUGUUCACUGUGCUCUCUUCUUGGGCGAUUUGUUCACUGUUCCUCUUGCUGCUCGAGCAGCUGAAUUCGGACUUGCUGACUAGCGAUUGAAGCUGGUUCUUGGUGGGAAGUGGCGCCUCCUACCUGUCCAUAAAACCCACCGAAGAUGCUCCUGGUACGUCCCUCCUUAUAGACUCGCAUGGCUCUUCUAGGUUAGGUUUUUCCUUCUUGGGUUGCUGCUGCGAUUUCUUUGAUUGGGAUGGAUUGGGAGUCUGAUAGAACCCGUGUUGUGGAUGAAGGGACUAGUUCCCAUGGUCCAUCUCCUAUUACUGUUGAAGGAGCCCCGUCGACGGCUUUACCAUUGAAUAAUCAGAACCUUGGUACUGUUCAUUCUGGUAUGGAGGAGCUGCGAGAUUCCCGUGCAUCUGCUGGUGCGCAAACCGUCCGUAGGGGAAGGUCCCGAUCGGUGAAGCCUAAGGGCAGAGAUGUUGCGAAGAAUCCUUCGGGCAAGACUUGGGUGGCUGUUGCCAAAACAGUAGCCAAGGGCUACGACCUUGUCUAUACGGCCCCAACCCUGGUUAACAACAAACCCCGCAUUGAGAUAACCGACCGAGACUUGGAAGCUGCGGACCCAAAGAUGCAUGAAUGCUUAAUGGGUUACUUCCUUGGUCGCCGGAUGCCAUUUAAGGUGGUUGAGGAAGCAAUGAAGAAGGUUUGGGGCCCGAAUCUGGUGGAUGUCAUGUCGAAUGGGAAAGGUUUAUUUAUGUUCCACAUACCGGACAUAGAGUUUCGUAGGAAUCUACUUGAGGGUGGGCAGAUUCGAGUUGCUAGUGUCCCCCUUGUUCUCCAGCAAUGGACCCCGGGUCUUGAGCUGCGAAAGGAAACCCACCUUUCGGUGCCUGUGUGGGUCAGGCUUUCGAACAUACCCUUCUCUUGCUGGUCUGCCCAAUUCAUCGGGAAGAUUGCUAGUGCACUCGGGAAACCGUUGUAUGUCGACCAACGUACUGAGCAGGCGAAGAGCUUGUCUUUUGCGCGGGUUUGUAUUGAAAUCACAGCUAAUCAACCUGAUUGUGAAGUUAUUGAGACAGUACACAAUGGUAACGUAUGUGAGAUAGGUGUGGAGUUUGAAUGGAAGCCCAUUGCUUGUGCGGGUUGCGGAAUCUUUGGCCAUAAAUGUGCUGCUAAAAAUAGAUCCGCUGGUCCUUCUGAUGUUCGUGCUGUUGAAUCUCGUCCCUCGGUAGAGACUGUGCCUCAAAACCAGGCUGAUGGGGGAGUCAUUGCUUCCUCUGUUGCUGCACCAUCUAAAGUGUAUUUGGAGUCUCAAGACUUGCCUCGGGAGAAUCCUCCCCAAGCUGUUGCAAAUAAGGUAAGUGACCCAGGUACAACCUCGGAUGGUUCCUCAGCUCACGCUAUUGUUUUGGAGGUAGCGCUCCAAGCCAAUUCUUCUUCUCCAUCUCAACCUACUUCUGUGCUGAGUGAUUCUGUGUGGCAGCAAGUUAAAGGUAAGAAGAAGAAGAAGCAGAAGACUCCGGCCCUUGCGUUCUCUUUUGAACCCACCUCUCCUCCUAUAGGUGGGCAGUCUCUUAAGUUGAAGGAAGCGGUGCCUACUGAGGUUGUGCCUGUACAGAAGCCUCCUAAUCCUUCGAAGCUCUCAGUAAAGGGCAGUCUUGUGUCUUCAAACCAUGAUGCUGAUGACUCGUUACCAACUCCUGUCAUGCCCCUUGAGAACCCGGAUGAUGAAAUCACUGGUUUUGCUUCGUCUAGCGAUGAGGAUGAGAUCCCAAGCAAGCCUCCCUCUCCUAGAGCUCUUUCAGGAUCUGCUGGGUUUGGGAUACAAGACCAACUUCUCCAGCUACCUCCUGACCCGCCUGGAUCGACGCUACCAGUGGUCCCGAAGGCGACUAAAGCUAGUCGCAAGUCCUCCAAGCGGAGGUAGUUCUCUUCUUUCCUUGGAUCAUGUUUUUUGGAUUUUGGAAUAUCAGAGGGAUGAUGAACCCUGUUAGAAGGGCUGAGAUUAGGAAGUUCGUUGCUUCUAAUAGUCUUAGUUUUGUUGGCCUUUUUGAGACUAAAGUCCCUGAGCCGUUGUUUGUUUCUAUUUCGUCUACCCUCCUAAGAGGCUGGAGCUGGCUCGCGAAUUAUGAUCAUUCUUCGCGUGGCAGAAUCUGGAUUGGAUGGAACCCGGAUUCCGUUAAUUUUGAGUUGAUUUCUCUAAAUGACCAAGCUAUCCAUGGACGUUUGAAGGGGAUUUCUUCUGACUUUACGUGUUGCAUCUCUGCUGUCUAUGGGGAGCACACUUUUGUGCGUCGUAGGCCUCUAUGGGCUGACCUUAUUCUUUGUGAUGAUUUAUUUCAAGAUACUGCUUGGCUCGUUGCGGGCGAUUUCAAUGCAAUUAAGGAUCCUACAGAUCGCUUCGGGAGCUCUAAUUCUUGGAUUCCUUGCUUCGAUGACUUUAGAUUUUGCCUUGAUCAAACGGAACUUGAGGACCUUAGGUACACGGGUCUUCGUUUUACCUGGUCCACUUCUUCGGGGUUAGGCAGGAAAAUGCGGAAAAUCGACCGGGUGCUAGUCAACACUAAAUGGAGAAUGGAUUUCUCCUUUUCGGAGGCGUCUUUUCUUAAUCCCGGAAUUUCAUACCACACCCCUAUGGUAGUUAGGGUUGUUGAUCCGAGUUCGAGAAGGAAGCCCUUUAAAUAUUUUGAUUUCUGGGCUGAUCACCCUAACUUCCGUGAUUCAGUUCGUCAAGCGUGGGACAGCCAUGUUUGGGGGAGGCCCAUGUAUAAGCUGGUUUCCAAGAUGAAGAUCCUAAAGCGCCGCCUCAAAGCACUCAACCUUGAAGCCUUUUCAGACAUCUCGAUGAGGACUCUGGAAGCAAGGGAGGCCUUGCGUUCUACCCAGCUUCUUUUGCACUCGGACCCCAAUAAUAUCACUCUUGCUGAAUUGGAGAAAGGCCAGCGUCGGACUUUUGUAGAUCUUCGAGGCCAAGAAGAAUCCUUCUAUAAGCAGAAAUCCAGAGUUAGAUGGUUGAAAGAGGGUGAUCGAAACACGAAAUUCUUCCACAACUUUGUCAAAGCCAGACAUCUAAACAACCGGAUUCUCUCUGUUAAAGACAAUUCAGGUUCGGUUGUUUCAGACCCCAACUUGGUGCCGCAAGUUUUUGUAUCUUUUUUCUCGGAUCUCCUUGCUCCGCAUUCGGGUUUGACGAAGCCUACGUUGCAUGAAUUGACAUCACUUAUUCGGAAGCCUCUUUCGGAUGACCAGGUAUGUUUGCUUACUUCACCGGUCUCGGAUUCUGAGAUUAAGAAUACUUUGUUUUCGCUUGCUAAGGGCAAAGCCCCUGGCCCGGAUGGGUUCACAGCCGAAUUCUUCAAAAAUAACUGGGACAUAGUAGGGUCCUCAGUCCUUGAAGCUGUUAAAGACUUCUUCUACUCAGGUUGCCUCCUUAAGGAAGUGAAUGCAACUAUUCUGGCUCUUGUUCCCAAAGUGCCGAAUGCCUGUGAGGUUAAUGACUUUAGACCAAUUGCUUGCUGCAACACUGUCUAUAAGAUUAUCACUAAAAUUUUGGCCAACCGGAUUGCAGCGGUCCUUCAAGAUCUUGUCAGCCCGUCCCAAAAUGCGUUUGUCAAAGGAAGGAGGAUCAGAGAUAAUAUUUUGCUUGCUCAAGAACUGUUUGUUGGAUUCCACCUUGACCCAUAUCUUCCAAAAUGUGCGGUCAAAGUAGAUUUUCGCAAGGCUUAUGAUACAAUUGAUUGGGAUUUCUUGGAACUUACUCUUGAAGCUUUCCGUUUUCCUCAGUGGAUUAUCCGGUUGAUUAUGGUCUGCGUGCGUACACCCAAAUUCUCGAUCUCUAUUAAUGGAGAGCUCCACGGAUUCUUUCCUGGAGGUAGAGGUCUUCGGCAGGGAGACCCAAUGUCACCGUAUCUCUUUACAUUAGUUAUGGAAAUCUUCUCUGGGAUUUUGAACCUAAAGACUUCUGUCAAGGAAUUCAAGUUCUACUGGAGGUGCAAGGCUCCUAAGCUUUCUCAUCUGUUUUUUGCUUAUGAUGUUUUCCUUUUUUGCCAAGCGGAUUGGAAUUCGGCAGUAAUUCUCAAGAGAAGCUUGGACAUUUUUUCAUCAUGGAGUGGACUGAUUCCGAACAAGAGUAAAUCUGAUAUCUUCUUGUCGGGUGGGACGCCAUUGUUGCGGAAUAGUAUCCUUUUAGAGUUUGGUUUUCGAGAAGGCAAACUUCCGGUUUGUUACCUAGGGGUGCCGAUAAUCUCAUCAAGGUUGGGAAAGGCGGAUUGCCUUCAGUUGAUUAACCGUAUUACGGCUAGAGUUCAUUCUUGGGCUCAUAGAUUUUUAUCGUUUGCCGGGAGGCUCCAGCUUAUAAGGUCAGUUCUCCACUCGAUUCAAGCUUUUUGGGCUAGUGUGUUUACUUUGCCGUCCUCAGUCAUUUUAGGUAUUGAAAGCAUUCUUCGUCGAUUUCUGUGGAAGGGCUCCUCCCUCGAUAAGGGGGGGGUUAAAGUUUCGUGGUUGGAUGUUUGUGUGCCUAAGGAUGAAGGAGGAUUGGGUAUACGGUCUGUGAAGGACUGCAACAAAGCCUCUAUGCUUAAAUAUAUUUGGAUCCUCUUUACAGACAAAGAAUCUUUGUGGUGUCGGUGGAUCCAUUCAAAUUUCUUAAAGAAGCAUAAUUUUUGGGUAGCCCCUCAACCGUCUGUUUGCUCUUGGGGCUGGAAGAAAAUUCUUCAACUUCGUAGUGGGUUUAGGCAGUCGUUUGGCUGGGAAGUUGGGAAUGGGCAGUCAAUCUCAUUAUGGUUCGACAACUGGAUGCCUUGUGGCCCUCUCUAUUCACUGGUCCCUGACUCCUUCUUGAAUGACCCAUACCUUCCUGUGCAUGCGGUUGUGGCGACUCUCUACUCUCAUGCAGCUACUCCCUCCAGAUUACGACUGGAGGAUUGGGGUCUCUCAUUUCCGACCCUCUCUUCGGCCUAUGACCGGUUUGUUUGGCGUGUAGACCCUUCGGGAUCGUUUUCUGUGGCCUCCGCGUGGAACUCCAUCAGAGUCAGGAAGAUUCGAGUCCCCUGGGCUCCUCUUGUCUGGGAUGGGGCCUUGGCCCCUCGUUUUCAAUUUUUGAUGUGGCUCAUCAUCAAGAAUCAUCUGCCAACACAAGUGCGUCUUCUUGCUUUUGGCAGAAUUGAUCACUCGGUCUGUAUCUUCUGCAAGUCCCAGCCGGACUCUAUUGACCACCUUUUCUUCGAAUGCAACACCUCAGCUACUCUAGUUUACUUUUGGGCUUCUAGAUGCAAUUUGCCAUGGAGAAAUGGCACUUGGGUGGACAACCUUUACUGGGCUAUGAAGUUUCUAGUGGGUAAGGAUUUCUUUCAUAGCAUCGCUCGGUUUUCCUUUGGAGCUUUGUGUCAUCUAAUCUGGAAGAAAAGGAAUGACAUGAUAUUUCGAGGAGAUACCUUAGCUAUUUCUGCCCUCAAGAACCACCUGUUUAAGGUGGUCAAAGAUAAGGCCAUUACAUAUAAGAAUGUCCCUGACACUCCAAGGAAUCGUCGCCUUCAGAGAGGUUGGGGUUUUGACCCGUCAGUUUUCGUUAAUCCUCCGGUGUUUUGAGCUGUCGGGUGUGGCACUUUCCAGCGAUCUUCCCCUAGUGCGUGGAGGUUCGGUUGAAGUUGUUGUGCCUGUUGCUUUGUGUUUUCUUUUCUUGUACUGUCGUCUGGCUUGAUUGCGGCCCCCUUCCACUCUCCCUGUUUUUAUGCAGCUAGAGUGAAAGUUUUUGGCGCCGUUUGUACUUUUGUCCUAAGCUCAGUAAUAUAUUCUUACCUUUACCAAAAAAAAAAAAACUACGACUAUGGUUGGUUCUUUAGGGGAUAGUUUUGGAAACUGAUGGCGUUAAAGAGAUGGUUUGGAUAGAAAGUACAAAGCUUGAACCUACUUCCAGCUAGGUGACAUGUCUUGUAUAAGUUUUACGGAUUAAGCUGCUCGAAAGAGGAAAUAGCUAGUUAUGUAAGUUCCAGGGACUUUGACGCGAGAUUGGAUAGCGUGUUCAAUUGUUUCAACCGGGUUUUUUUCUCGGGACAAUUUUGAACCAGUUCAUUCACAAAUUUUUGAACUUCAGUCUUAUUAAGCAGCAAAACAUAUCCGAGGACCAUAUAACAUGAAAAUUCUACUUGAUGGCCAAAGGGUGACUUGAGAAUUUUCUUUUUGUAAAUAUAUUUGCAAAAUGUUUCCUUCUCUUUAAGUCAUUUUAAAUUGUACCGGGAUUCAAAUGAUGAUGAUGAGCAGGAAAAAACUCAAGAAGAAUUUCUGGAAAGAUAUGCCAAAGCUGCGAUUGAUCUUAAAGAUGGUAAUGCCAUUGGAGAGGGAGAUGUCGAAAAUGAAGACCUUGAGCCUGAUUUGGGUAAAGUUCCUUGUUCUACUUGUAAGCUGUGCGAAAAAAAUCGUGGUUUUAGUUACAAACUUAUCUGCUUGAAAGAUUUCACCACCUGAUUGUCUAAGUCACUUACAAUGGACACUAUCAUGCAUUAGAAAUCGAUGAGAUGUAACUUCCCUGCUUUGAUCAUAAUCACAAGCUUCAGGAGUCUCCUGCGGUCGUUAGAUAGCCGUAAAUUAGAAUCUUCGUAGUGCUCUCGAUGGCUGCUUUUUUUAGGCCUUCCUUUUGGAGGUACUAUCAGCUUUAAGGUUCGUUAGUUAGCUCGUUUGGGACACAGAAUAGGUAUGAAGGGUUUGCCAAAGGGCCUGAUGGACUUUUUAAUCCCAUGACAUCUGUCCUUAACAUCUUCCUAUAACUAGUUAAUUAUUAGCAGGGAAGUGGCAUGCGAGGCAGCCAAGUGCAGGCGUAAUAGUUCUUGGCCCCCCUUAGGUUUGCAUAGAAUUCAGAUUGCACUCGGGGAAACUGCCUCAGAACUUUUUUGGGAAUUCCCAGUACGGUUUUUGUUGCAUGAUGUGAUGUCUCUUGUGCAGAUGUUUCGAUUUUUUCAGUGAAAUGAGUUUUCUAUUGGAGAAUUGUGUCCACAAGGUUAAUCCGAGGGAUGAUUUGGACGCUAUGUGGGGUGUUUUUCUUUUUUCCUGUUUAGCAAUUUUCAUGCUCAGGGUAAACUCUGAUAAUCUUGCUAAUCGAUUUGUCUGUAUAAUACAAAAUAGGCCAUCUGGAGGAGGUCGAUCACCAUCGACUCGUCUUCUCAUUGAUAGAAAGAAAUCAAGAAGUCCUCCUUAAAGGGCAGGUGCCACCUCCGCUCGUUUGGACUUCGCACGGUGCCUUCCCCAAGCAGUUUUCGUUGUUGCUGUAGUACAGAUGAAAAAGUUAAAUGAACUUUCCUGCAUUCGAGUGGAGUAGAGAAGUUUGAUCCCGACUCGAUUGAUUUCUACUUAGGGGCGGUCUCUGCCUCGAGAUAAAAGAUUAUUUAAGAUAUAGCCGCUGAGAGGAACUGUAGAGUGCAGAGUGUCAAUGGUUUGUAAUCUCAACAACCAUGUUUUGUCACAAGGUUUGAUUUUUAUUGAAUGCUGCUGGGAUGGCAUCCCGGAGCAAGACUCCAUAUGAAAUAACAUGUGGGUAAAGAAUCCUCAGUGUUUUAACAAUGCGCUCAUAUCAUUUAGUAAACAAAUUUCAGCGCACUUUCUUAGUACAUAUUGCCUUUCUCAAGCGCAUAUAUGCUCUAACUGUACCACCAUUAUGUAUGUCCACCUGGCUUUAACUGUGGUGGAAUGGUAUUGUUUAUGUAGUCAUUUUCUUAAAUAUUAAACUUCCUCACUCCCAAUGUCAUGAAACAUUUAGUCAAUUUUACCGGGCGACAUGUUAACACAAGAACUACAAGGCCUUACCACCGAGUUCAUAGGACUCGGAUUCAAACAUGAAUCCAAUAUAUAUAUAUAUAUAUAUAUAUAUAUAUAUAUAUAUAUAUAUAAACAUGUUUCAAGCAAUAAAACAUUGAAAAUAAAACGUCGCCAAGAACAUUGAAACUACUGAUAUAUAUAUGUGUGUGUGUGUGUGUGUGUGUGUGAACCUACGGAUGUUUUAUGAGGGACAUGGGCGGUGCCGAGGUGGAAAUUUUCAUCCUGGACAUGGGCAGUGCCAAGGCGGACCCACUCGAUGUUGAGGCGGACGAGGCGGACCCACUCAAUGCCGAGGUGGAUGAGGUGGACUCACUUGAUGUCGAGGCGGCCAUGGGCGGUGCUAGUGCCGAGACAUAAGCUGGCGAUGUCGUGCCGGACAUCUGCACGGCGGUUUGAAGAGCAAAGGCGGACAUUGGCGGUGGCGGUGGGGAAGUCAGCGUGGACAUUAGAAAAGCAAAGGCCGGUGUCGGUUUCGAUUCCGGUGGUGGUGUCCGAACCUUGUUGAGAUCAAAGGGCCUCCAAAUUUUGUGUUCCUACGCAAAAGCUUCCUGCUGGUGCUGGCAUCAGAAGGAACGUCUGAAGGCAAAGAAUCAGAGCAAGAGCGUCAGACAAAAGCACGAGAUGGACUACUACAAGGGUAAGGGUGCACGACUCUCAGUAUUUAUGGGAAGGAGGAUUGAU
rnacentral:lncRNA from 1 species